CAAGUGAUAAUUUUGGGGUUUAAUGCUGUUUGCUUGCUGAAUGAUGUAAGCAUAUUCAACAGAAAAUUGAUGCAACCAUAGGUCCCGUAUUUGGAUUCGACCAAAACUUGGCCAGUCACAUAGAUGUAGAAACAGGCCACUGAAUAUCAAGAUUAAAAUGGUUGGUUGUUGAAUUUUAGAAUUAUGAAAAUAAAUUUUAUUAAUCUCAAUUCUUUAGUUUAGUCAAUUUUUCUAUGUCCUCCUGCAUCAAUUUUCUUUCCUGCUAAUUUUCUGAGCCAAAUCAUGUAUGAUGUUUCUGUCUGUCUUUUAUUGUUUGAUAUUUUGAAGGAAAUAAUUCAUGGUUCAACCAUGCCAACGGUGUAUGCUUCCACAGCUAUUGUAAAGUUUCAUUUGUAUCAAGAUUCUGUCUGCUUCUGUGCAACAAGCACAUCCAUACAAGAUCAAUAAAACAUGUUAAUUUCUUGGAUUGUAAUUUUAUCUUUCCUAAACCUUCUGGCAGUCCUUGUAGUAAUAUUUUCUAAGUUCCUCUGGAAAUCCUGUUAAGCAACAAAAGAGCCUUUCAUUUAUUCCAUCCUGUAGCUACACAUAAAUGGCGGAUUUUUGGGCUCACUCUGAAAACUAAAUUGGCAUUUCAUUCACAAAAGUACUUACGUAAUUAUUUUUCGAGAUUGGACCCCAAGGAUAUGUACAAAUUCAGGAGACAAUGCCCCAAACAGUUAGCCUUAACAGCAGGUGACAAUGAAAACUGUUGAGUUUGCUUUGGAGAAUUCAAGUGUCUUGGGUUAGUAGUUGCAAUGUAAGCAUGAUCAGAAGAAUGUUCUUACUUAAGAGUUUGAGUGAGACCUAUAAAUGAGCUUGGGGGAGUUUCUCUUGAUUCUUUAUUUGUAGCUUGGACUACAGGAUUCUGAUGCCAGAGGUUAUGAACAUAGCUGAUUAAAUGCUCAUUAAAUAAUUUGCUAAAUUGUAUUGUGUGUAGGAGGUUGCAGCUGGGCGAUAGUAUUGAAACUGAAAGUAUGUGUCCCUCAUUCUGUACGGGUAUUGGGUAGAAAUUUGGACCUUCUUCCUCCAAAAAAAUGUUAAAUCAUUGAAUGCCACCAUGUUAUGAGUGUGACUGACACAUUUUUAUAAAUCUAGCAUUCCAGAAGAAGUACUCGGUUUCAUGUGAUACAUGCUGAAACAUUGUGCUGCACCUAGCUUGGAGUUUGGACGACCCAGGAAUCAUAUCUUUGUUCUUCUGCCAAAUAGGUUGGUGUAUAUUUUGAAUGAGUUUAUUCUAUUGGAAUUAAGGUCAGUCACCACGGAGGUACGUACAUAACUAUCGCAUUUGCAUGGCAUAAACAGCAAAUUACAAUUUACAGAAGCAGUAGAAAGAACAAACCCCAGAAAAGCAAGAAAUGACCACAGAUCAUUUAGAACAUAUAUAAAAUGCAUUUUA